GGCAAACUCACUGUUUACCACUGAAUUGCUAACUAACGCUAAUUAGGUUUUCUGUGAAUUGCAGUUUGUUCCAAUUCAGCAGUAAACAGUGGGUUUUCCCA